AUGGGCCGAAAGAAGAAGACUUUACAUGACUAUGCAGCUGAGUUUACAGACCUGGGGGUAAAACGGCAUGUGAUUGAACACAGUGAGUCUGGGGGCACCUCUGUGGUAGAGACUCUAUACUGCAAAUCCUGUGAGCUGCCCAUGAGGGUGAGGAGGGACCGCAUCCUGGAGCACCUGUCCUCUGGCAGGCAUUAUAGGAACCGUCACCGCAUGAAGCAGCGUGGAGGCCAAACUCCCAUCUUUAUAUCAGCAGCCUCAGACCUGAGUAGCCACCUCCCUGUACAGGUUGAUCCUCCUCCAGCCUUGCUUUCUCAGCCUCCCUAUGUUUUCCCAGGCGUUCCCUGCCUUACCAGUACCAGUGCCAGCAUGGUGCCUUCACCUCCUUCCUACCACAGAGCUUUGCUCCCUGCCCACCUCAGUGCUAUCAGCUCCACAACCAGUGCCGUGCCUGUCAGAGAAGACCAAACUCCAUCUACCUCCACCAACCACCCUUCUGCAUUCACGACUCUUCACGUGAAAAGCCCCGCCGUCCCCUCAGAACAGAAUAGCCAAAGGCUUAUUGUUUCAGAAGCAUCCAGCAGUGUGGCUUCUGGAAGCGGAGUAGGAUGGCUUCUUAGUGAUGGGGCUUUGGGAAGCAGCCUUGGCCUUGCUCUCUUUGGUGUAGGCUCUGGGAACAAGGCAUUGUUUCAGAGCUUAGUGGAAGAAGACAGCUGCUGCCUGCUCUACGUGGUUGAAGAUCAGCUGUCAGAUGUCGAGCAGGCCUUCAGAUCAGACCAUUUGGUGAACACCCGCGUGCUUCGGGAGCAAGAUGCCAACAUUGUACUUAAUGAUCAGCGUGUCUCUGGAGUCAUUAUCUGUUCACCCCCUGAAGCAGCUUCUGAAAUUGUGAUGGGUGCAUUGAGAGCAGGUAAGGAAACUACUCUUGAUUUCACUCCCUAA
rnacentral:lncRNA from 1 species